rnacentral:rRNA from 1 species
GAGUUUGAUCCUGGCUCAGAGUGAACGCUGGCGGCAGGCCUAACACAUGCAAGUCGAACGGCAGCACAGCAGUAGCAAUACUGUGGGUGGCGAGUGGCGGACGGGUGAGGAAUACAUGGGAAUCUGCCCUGUCGUGGGGGAUAACGUAGGGAAACUUACGCUAAUACCGCAUACGACCGAGAGGUGAAAGCGGCGGACCGCAAGGCGUCGCGCGAUUGGAUGAGCCCAUGUCGGAUUAGCUAGUUGGCGGGGUAAAGGCCCACCAAGGCGACGAUCCGUAGCUGGUCUGAGAGGAUGAUCAGCCACACUGGAACUGAGACACGGUCCAGACUCCUAC